UAUUCCCUUGAUCUAUAUGUUUGUCUUUAUGCCACUACUACACUGUCUUGAUUACUGUAGCUUUGUCAUAAAUUUUGAAAUCAGGAAGUCUUAGUUUUC